rnacentral:rRNA from 1 species
GUGGGGAAUAUUGGACAAUGGGCGAAAGCCUGAUCCAGCCAUGCCGCGUGUGUGAAGAAGGUCUUCGGAUUGUAAAGCACUUUAAGUUGGGAGGAAGGGCAGUAAGUUAAUACCUUGCUGUUUUGACGUUACCGACAGAAUAAGCACCGGCUAACUUCGUGCCAGCAGCCGCGGUAAUACGAAGGGUGAAAGCGUUAAUCGGAAUUACUGGGCGUAAAGCGCGCGUAGGUGGUUUUGUAAGUUGGAGGUGAAAUCCCCGGGCUCAACCUGGGAACUGCCUCCAAAACUGCAUGACUAGAGUACGGUAGAGGGUAGUGGAAUUUCCUGUGUAGCGGUGAAAUGCGUAGAUAUAGGAAGGAACACCAGUGGCGAAGGCGACUACCUGGACUGAUACUGACACUGAGGUGCGAAAGCGUGGGGAGCAAACAGGAUUAGAAACCCUUGUAGUCC